rnacentral:rRNA from 1 species
AACGAACGCUGGCGGCAUGCCUAACACAUGCAAGUCGAACGGGAUCCUGGUUUCGGCCAGGUGAGAGUGGCGGACGGGUGAGUAACGCGUGGGAACCUGCCCAGUGGUGGGGGAUAACUGCGGGAAACUGCAGCUAAUACCGCAUGAGCCCGAAAGGGGAAAGAUUGAUCGCCAUUGGAGGGGCCCGCGUUCGAUUAGGUAGUUGGUGAGGUAACGGCUCACC